GAUGAACGCUGGCGGCGUGCCUAAUACAUGCAAGUCGAGCGAACGGACGAGAAGCUUGCUUCUCUGAUGUUAGCGGCGGACGGGUGAGUAACACGUGGAUAACCUACCUAUAAGACCGGGAUAACUUCGGGAAACCGGAGCUAAUACCGGAUAAUAUUUUGAACCGCAUGGUUCAAAAGUGAAAGACGGUCUUGCUGUCACUUAUAGAUGGAUCCGCGCUGCAUUAGCUAGUUGGUAAGGUAACGGCUUACCAAGGCAACGAUGCAUAGCCGACCUGAGAGGGUGAUCGGCCACACUGGAACUGAGACACGGUCCAGACUCCUACGGGAGGCAGCAGUAGGGAAUCUUCCGCAAUGGGCGAAAGCCUGACGGAGCAACGCCGCGUGAGUGAUGAAGGUCUUCGGAUCGUAAAACUCUGUUAUUAGGGAAGAACAUAUGUGUAAGUAACUGUGCACAUCUUGACGGUACCUAAUCAGAAAGCCACGGCUAACUACGUGCCAGCAGCCGCGGUAAAUACGUAGGUGGCAAGCGUUAUCCGGAAUUUAUUGGGCGUAAAACGCGCGUAGGCGGUUUUUUAAGUCUGAUGUGAAAGCCCACGGCUCAACCGUGGAGGGUCAUUGGAAACUGGAAAACUUGAGUGCAGAAGAGGAAAGUGGAAUUCCAUGUGUAGCGGUGAAAUGCGCAGAGAUAUGGAGGAACACCAGUGGCGAAGGCGACUUUCUGGUCUGUAACUGACGCUGAUGUGCGAAAGCGUGGGGAUCAAACAGGAUUAGAUACCCUGGUAGUCCACGCCGUAAACGAUGAGUGCUAAGUGUUAGGGGGUUUCCGCCCCUUAGUGCUGCAGCUAACGCAUUAAGCACUCCGCCUGGGGAGUACGACCGCAAGGUUGAAACUCAAAGGAAUUGACGGGGACCCGCACAAGCGGUGGAGCAUGUGGUUUAAUUCGAAGCAACGCGAAGAACCUUACCAAAUCUUGACAUCCUUUGACAACUCUAGAGAUAGAGCCUUCCCCUUCGGGGGACAAAGUGACAGGUGGUGCAUGGUUGUCGUCAGCUCGUGUCGUGAGAUGUUGGGUUAAGUCCCGCAACGAGCGCAACCCUUAAGCUUAGUUGCCAUCAUUAAGUUGGGCACUCUAAGUUGACUGCCGGUGACAAACCGGAGGAAGGUGGGGAUGACGUCAAAUCAUCAUGCCCCUUAUGAUUUGGGCUACACACGUGCUACAAUGGACAAUACAAAGGGCAGCGAAACCGCGAGGUCAAGCAAAUCCCAUAAAGUUGUUCUCAGUUCGGAUUGUAGUCUGCAACUCGACUACAUGAAGCUGGAAUCGCUAGUAAUCGUAGAUCAGCAUGCUACGGUGAAUACGUUCCCGGGUCU
rnacentral:rRNA from 1 species